UUAUGCAUGUGGCAUCUUGGCAAGAUAUGUAAUCCUGGAACCAUGGAAGUUUUAUAUUUAGUUUGUUUAUUUCUGCCGCCACCUAUUUUAUCAAAAUAUUUGCAUUUUAUGAAGAUUACUACUUCACUACUAGUACUUGUCAUCAAAUGCAAACUAAAGAUAUCUGUUCUGAACUCAAUUAGCAGCCUUGGCAGCUGAACAAAGUUCUCCUUUUCUGUGUGAACUAGUUUCUGUACCUUAAUCCCGGCUGAAUGAGAAUCUUGAUUUCAAAAGAGAGGGUUCACUUCUGGUAUUAUGCACCUAAUGUGAAUCUUUACCCCGCAUGACAGGUGGCUCUGUUUAAGGCGGAUAGAGCUGGCAUUCCUUGUGAUGACAAUGGGAGACCCGAGUGAUCAGAGUCUUCGUCUGGAAGGUCCACCUUUUCGACAACUCUCGUCUUGAGUUUUGACCUGGACGUCACUGUGGCCUGGCACGAGCAAACCUGUCCUCUGGAGCAGUUAUAUCUCCUGCACGAACGCACUCUACUCUACAGUACUCCCUCAUUGUUCGUAAAGAGGGCAUUUGAAGAAAGUUGAAAUAGUAGUUCUGGAGAGGGACUUUGAAGGCGGGCAAGGCAAAUGACUGGACAGCUCGGGAGUUAAAUAAUAACAUUGCUAGCGAAGGAGAAGGAGAAGGUAAAUGGCCCUUGCUUCCGGAAACGUGUUUGUUGGCCGUGAGGAGGCAUUGACACAGUGGGAGAUAAUAACUCAACUGUUUUGCGGUAAAGGAUCAUGUGGAGAAUGCCGAAGUACGUGUUGCUGUGAAACAAGCAAAUGAAAACUGGAAGAAUGUCUCCGACAUCUGACAGUUAGUGAAACACUUUUGGAGUACCGAUCACAGCUCUUGAAUAUGAGAUCCCCAUCUUUGCGCGAAAAUGAAUUUUACCAGUUGCCUACACAAGUUGCCACUGGUGGUUUUGAAAAGAAAAAAAAAGACCCGCGCCAUUAUAAUUAAGGAGGAUGUGGGACAUCAAGUUUUAAUCUGCGAAAUAAAUUCAGCCCACUGGAUUCGAACUUGGGUAUAUGCCAAGGUGCACAGCCGCACUCUUGCCACUGGUGGUUUUGAUUUGUGACUCAUGGACAUACCAUCAAAGUUUUUCUUCCUCCGUGAUUUGUGACUUGUGGUAAAGGUGAUAUUUUGUCCUCAAACCAUCGUGUGCUCUAGA